AAAGGAUCAAAAACUGCGAAGCUUCUUACGGUUUCAAGCUCCGUGUGUUCUAUCCAACGACAUAGAAUUUGCAGAUGAGAAGGGGGUGACACAGUACUUCACUGGCCUUUUUCUUUGCAGACCAACCGGACAAGGAAAAUCCAUGAUCAUUGUCAGGUUUGGAGCAACAAAAAGACCUCAAAUGGCAAAGGUGAUCCCUAAAUGGUACUUCCAUCAAAAUGCGUGCAAAAUCUUUGAGCAAGACAUGGGAUUUCUGUCAUCACAGAAUGAAGUUUUAAUGAAAGAAAAGGUUCCAACAAAGGAAUU
rnacentral:lncRNA from 1 species